AAAUGUUAAAACAUGAACUGAAGAAUUUCAAUUAAUGUAUAAUGACAAAAUUAUUCAAACUACUUAUAAGACGGAUUUGCAUAUUUAUGGUAAUUCUGACAAGAUAUUUGUACUUCGUAGUAGAUUUUCUCCAAUGUGGAUAUUAUUAACCAGCUUCCCUGUUUCCUAGCAACAUUUCAAAUACAUUUUAAUUUGAAUGUGAGAAAAGAAUAUUUUUCAUUAACAUUUAGGUUUGAUUGAUUUUUAAUUUCAAUGUGUUUAUAUUUAUUUUAUAAAUGUAUUGUUUUCUAUGAGUAGUGUAGUGGAACUUAUUGGUACGUCAUUCUGCACUUACCUACUGUCACUUAUUCUGUACAUGAAAAGCUGUAUGCAGUAUUGUGAACAGCCUGAACAGCUGGCAAAUUAGUUCUUUAGACAUUUAGCUCGUGUCAUAGCUGGGCAUAACAUUCCAUAUGCUUAGUCCAUAUGCCAGACAGGGGAUAUUUUCAUGAUGUAUUUAUAAGUAGUGUGUUACCUGUAGAAACCAGACAUAAUCACUCCACUGCUAGCAUCUUCUAAACCUGUUCGUGGGGAGGGACCAGCCGUAAACCGUUUGUAUUUUGUUGGUUCGAUCUCUAGGUGACUUGGCUUACGUUGGUUGGAUCAGAAAGUGUACAUUUAUUCAAUUGGUUCGGUCUCUAGGCGACAUUUGGCUUUCGUUGGUUGGAUCAGGAAGUGUAAAUUGGCAUUUACAUGGAUCAGAAAAAGAUCAUUUGUCUUCAUUUGGUUUGAUCAGAAAGUAAAGAUUUAUAUUUAGUUGGUUCGAUCAGUUGGUGACGUUUGGUUUUCAUUGGCUUGAUCGGAAAGUCAACAAUGGUAUUUACUUGGUUCGACAAGAAAGGGAGCAUUUUUCUUCGGUUGGUUGGAUCUGAACUUGAACAUUUGUCUUUAGUUGGUUCUGAGAACAUAAUGAACAUAUUUAUUCAGUUUGAUCAGAAUGUGAACAUUGUUCCUUUAAUUGAUUUGAUAAAUAAGUGUACAUCUGUAUACAGUCUUUGUCUUCAGUUACUUUUAUCAUAAAGUGGAUCUUUGAACAUUUGAAUUCUUCAAGACUUCUUCAUUUUGUCAAAGUAUCCUCGCUUUGGAUGUUUUUGAAAAAUCUGCAUUCUUUCAUGUAAUCAUGUCACGAUGAAAUGCUAAAUAACAUUUGAAAUUAUACCUGGUUCCAAUUUGGUUUUACGAUAGUGCUGAAAGAAUUUCUUUUGUGGUACAUAUUUGUACAUGUGGGAUAUUAUUCAGUAUUAAUAUCAAGCGAUAGAGAACACUAGUUGUAGCAAUCGCAUUAUGCCAGUUUGACAUUAUACAUUGGACAAUUCACCUUCAUUGUAUCUCUUGCCUCAACAUGCUCGGUUGCGGCCCACAGGGAAACAAUCAAACCUCAUUUCUCUUCUGACUUGUAGGAUAAUUUUGUUGUUUCUGAAAUCCUGGUUUCUGUUUGUUUUGUGAUCUAUGUCCAGUUUCCUCCUGUUGGUGCAUGUCUGCUGCUGUGGGGCUUGUCAGAGUCAAACUAGGGACCAUGCAGUCAUAGGCUCAGAAGAAUAUAGUGUUUGAGCUGCAGUUGAACAGUGGGGAAAGUGUUUGAGAAGUUGAACCAUUGGGGAAAGUGUUUGAUAAACAGUUGAACCAGUGGGGAAAGUGUUUGAUCUACAGUUGAACCAGUUGGGAAAGUGUUUGAUCUACAGUUGAACCAGUGGGGAAAGUGUUUGAUAGACAACUUAGCCCAAAGGAUGGAUGCCCUGUCAAAAUUAGAGUGAUCUGUUAGAAUCUGAGAAGUAACUCUGGAAUGCACCAAUCAACAUCCUCAAUUUCCCGUUACUGUUGUUAUUGCUACAUGAGUCACUGCUGAGACAAGUCAUCGUGUUACCAUGGUAACCAGUUUAUAAUAUUUUGUGUCCCAGUCUGGAGUCUGCUGCUUGUUUCCCUUCUAAUACUCAGGGCUCCAGAACAUGUCUGUGUGGUUGCUCAAGGGAGCCUCAUUGUGGAUUCUACAUACAGUGUGUUACGUUGUUUCUGUCUGAUUCUACACACAGUGUGUUCCUGUACAGUUUGACUUGUAGCUCCAAGUGUACAUUUCCUAAUAGGUGAUUAUCUCCCCUUCCCGUCAUAGCUUCUGUCUCAUGUGUCCUUCACCCUUCUUCUCUCUCCACCACUAUGCAAGACGUGCAAUCACAUAUUGGGUUCCUUUUGUUCGUCCUUUGUCAGUGGGCUACAGAUCGUAAAACCUGUCGAGAACCUGUUAUCUUGGGAAAACAAUAAUCAAAAAAUGGUUCUGUAUUUUGUCUUGUUAAGAACACAUUGUACUCAGAUGACGACUUUCUGAUUGUGUGGGUCAAGUUUAAGAUUUGCUCCUCAAACGUGUCUGUGUGCCUGUACUCUGCACUCAACCUUAAACAUGGCUCACAGCAGAUACUGGUCCACGACACCUGCACACACCAAGGCCCAGGACACUAUCUAAAUAGUCGAGAAAUAUCUUCUAGGAAAGCUUCUCUUUGACAAGUGGACGUUAUCUACAAUGUAGAUAAAGUGCUAUUGUUUUCGUAUCAAUUGCUGCUUGCUGUUUUGUUUUAGGUUUAGUUUGACUUAAAUUUGAAGUCAAGAUUGAGAAUUUUGCAAAUACACAAUGUCUGACAUCAUUAGGUUCAUCACAUCGCCAUCGCCAUCGGUAGCAUCAUCCUUAGUCAGCAUCAUCAUCCCGGACACAUCGCUCAUAUCCAAAUCAAAACUAAUCUUCAUGCUUAGAAUAUAAAAACUAUGGAUCUUGGAAAUACUUAAAUCAUUUGAGCAUCCGAGGAAUUGUUGUGAUUCAUUACCCCACCACUGUAGAUGUUGUCCCAAGUUUCACAUGGUAUCUUCAAAUUGUGUUGUCCAAACUGCAAAGUAUUAGAUGUGGCUUGACAUUGUGGCAAUAUAAACUCCAUCAAGCUAUCGUGCGUCGAACUCAACACUACUCAAGUGUCCCUUGUCAAUUUUGUGCAUAUAUAUCUAUCUACAUAUUGUCUACGCCAAACAGUUUCACAACCUAGAUGUUCGAGUCCGCACUUUCGCCUUAUCAGCAUGUGUUCUAGUCCACAGUUCAUACUUUGACCUUCUGUAAUUACUAAGAUUACUAGAAAUAUGCCUUGACAGACGCAGAGCUUGUAAGGUCACUCAUUCAGUUGACUCAGUAUGUAUUUUAGUGUAUUGUAAUGCGAGGCUGAUGAACUAGCUAGUUCUCUCUGAUCAAUGUUUGUUGAAUGUUUGUAUGUUUCGAUGUAGUUUUCUCUGUCAUAAUUCACUUGUAAUUUAACAUUUUCAUGUUUGUUUAUUUUCCAUUUAGUAAUGAGUUGAAUAAAAUUUUUAUUAUUA